rnacentral:rRNA from 1 species
AGAACGAACGCUGGCGGCAUGCCUAACACAUGCAAGUCGAACGCUCACCGGGCUUCGGUUCGGUGGGAGUGGCGCACGGGUGAGUAGCGCGUGGGAACCUGCCCUGUUGUGGGGGAUAACCGAGGGAAACUUCGGCUAAUACCGCAUGCGCCCGGGGAAACCCGGGGAAAGAUUUAUCGCAGCAGGAGGGGCCCGCGUCGGAUUAGGUAGUUGGUAGGGUAACGGCCUACCAAGCCUUUGAUCCGUAGCUGGUCUGAGAGGAUGAUCAGCCACACUGGGACUGAGACACGGCCCAGACUCCUACGGGAGGCAGCAGUGGGGAAUAUUGGACAAUGGGCGAAAGCCUGAUCCAGCAAUGCCGCGUGUGUGAAGAAGGUCUUCGGAUUGUAAAGCUACUUUCGACGGGGACGAUAAUGACGGUACCGUAGAAGAAGCCCGGCUAACUUCGCGCCAGCAGCCGC